ACAAGGGCGAAGUUGGAGAUAUAAUGGUUUCUCCAACAACAGCAUCUCCGUUCAGAGGAAUGCUGCCCAAACCAAAAAUAUGUGUUGGCAGAUUAUGAAGAUAGAAGGUUAUAGCGAAGAAUUUCUGGACUUGGUAUUCGAUCAUUUAGUGCAAAAUGAGAAGCUGGGAAAAGCAUUUCUGGCAAACGGUCAAAGACUUCGUUUGAUUUUUCUCGAGAGGUUCAAGAAAUAUUGGGGUGUCGAAUGAAGUACUUAUUAUGUGAUGGCAGCGAGGAUCGUUUAUUGCCAUGAAUUUAUUUGAGAGAGGAAGCAACAGAAACUGUGUUAUAAGCAAGCAUCACAUUCUUGGAAAGUCUCUUCAGCUGCGUAGUGUUUUUUUUUUUGUCAUUAUCUUUUGUAUUUAUAGGAAAACCACUUGCCUUGUUUUGGAAGUACUAGGUUUCCAGAAUUCAGCUUAAA